rnacentral:rRNA from 1 species
CACGUAGGGGGCAAGCGUUGUCCGGAUUUAUUGGGCGUAAAGAGCUCGUAGGUGGCUGAGUAAGUCGGAUGUCAAAUCCCCAGGCUCAACCUGGGACACCACCCGAUACUGCUCUAGCUAGAGUCCGGUAGGGGAGCAUGGAAUUCCUGGUGUAGCGGUGAAAUGCGCAGAUAUCAGGAGGAACACCAGCGGCGAAGGCGGUGCUCUGGGCCGGAACUGACACUGAGGAGCGAAAGCGUGGGUAGCAAACAGG